GGGGCAGUAGCUCACCUGGUAGAGCGCAGCAUUCGCAUUGCUGAGGUAGCGGGUUCAAGUCCCGCCUGCUCCACCA
rnacentral:tRNA from 1 species